CAAAGAACCCUGUGGCAAGUCUCCAGCAUGAAGCUACUUGUCCAAUCUGUGUGGAGUAUUUCAUGGAACCCUUCACUCUGCAAUGUGGGCACAAUCUCAGCCACGCCUGCACCAGUCAGUGCUGGGAGGGAUCGGAUACAGAUGCCUCCUAUUCCAAGUAAGGAGAGACUAUGGAACAAGAAACUUCAGACCAAAUAGGCAACUAGUGAUAGAAGUAGAAACAGCCAAACAGCUGAGUUUAGAGGCACUGGACGGAGCAGGAGGGGAGAGGGUGUGUGAGGAACACUGGAAGCCUCUGAAACCGUUCUGUGAAGAGGAUCAAACUUCUAUUUGUUUAGUUUGCCAUCUGUCAGGGACUCACAGGGCUCACACUGUGGUUUCCAUAGAGGAGGCUGCUUGGAGUAGAAGGCUCUCUGCCAUCUGCACUGGAGACAAGAAGAGGAGCACUCAGACUGGUUAUCCAAGGCACAACUGGAGUUGCAGCUAGCAAGGGAUGUGAAGAGUAACAAGAAGG